GCGCGAAACCUCCGCAAUGCGAGCAAUCGCGACGGGGGGACCCCAAGUGCUACUCUUAACGGGGUAGCUUUUCUAAAGUGUAAAAAGCUUCAGGAAUAAGGGCUGGGCAAGACCGGUGCCAGCCGCCGCGGUAACACCGGCAGCUCAAGUGGUGGCCGCUUUUAUUGGGCCUAAAGCGUUCGUAGCCGGCCUGAUAAGUCUCUGGUGAAAUCCCGCAGCUUAACUGUGGGAAUUGCUGGAGAUACUAUCAGGCUUGAGGCCGGGAGAGGCUGGAGGAACUCCCAGGGUAGGGGUGAAAUCCUAUAAUCCUGGGAGGACCACCUGUGGCGAGGGCGUCCAGCUGGAACGGACCUGACGGUGAGGAACGAAAGCCAGGGGCGCGAACCG
rnacentral:rRNA from 1 species